GGCUCAGGACGAACGCUGGCGGCGUGCUUAACACAUGCAAGUCGAACGAAGCUUGAGGAAUGAUUCUUCGGAAUGAAUUCUGAUAUGACUGAGUGGCGGACGGGUGAGUAACGCGUGAGUAACCUGCCUCUUGGAGGGGGAUAGUGUUUGGAAACGAACAGUAAUACCGCAUAAUGUGCACUAAAGGCAUCUUCUGUGUACCAAAGAUUUAUCGCCAAGAGAUGGACUCGCGUCUGAUUAGAUAGUUGGUGAGGUAACGGCUCACCAAGUCGACGAUCAGUAGCCGGACUGAGAGGUUGAACGGCCACAUUGGGACUGAGACACGGCCCAGACUCCUACGGGAGGCAGCAGUGGGGAAUAUUGCACAAUGGGGGAAACCCUGAAUGCAGCAACGCCGCGUGGAGGAAGACGGUUUUCGGAUUGUAAACUCCUGUUCUUAGGGAAGAAGCAAGUGACGGUACCUAAGGAGCAAGCCACGGCUAACUACGUGCCAGCCGCGGC
rnacentral:rRNA from 1 species